UGGCUUAGUUGGUUAAAGCGCCGGUCUGGCGAAUACGGAGUCGUGGGUUCGAAUCCCAC
rnacentral:tRNA from 1 species